rnacentral:misc_RNA from 1 species
AAGUCGUAACAAGGUUUCCGUAGGUGAACCUGCGGAAGGAUCAUUAUCAAAAGUCAAGUCGGGGGCUGUAAAGCUCUCGUCUACACCCAUGUCUUUUGCGUACUCUUGUUUCCUCGGUGGCGCAAGCUGCCGAUUGGACAAACCAAAACCUUUUUUUGUAAUUGCAAUCAGCGUCUGAAAAUAAUCUAAUUAUUUACAACUUUCAACAACGGAUCUCUUGGUUCUG